CUUUGUUUUCCCCGGGCUUCCAUAAAACCCUGGGAAGUGAUAGGAGAGUCGGUCAUUUCCAGAGUGAAGCCGGGGCGUGGACACGAUGAAGUCAUGCUGCUGGGCUGCUGGGCUCCGAGCCCACUGCCUCGCAGCCUCCACCUGGGCAAAGUGUGGCGCCCGCUGAGUCGGGGGAGCUGGGGCCAUCGGCUUGUCCUUUGCCUUAAGAUGUCACCUCUGCUCCAGCACAGGUGCCCUGUGAUGGCAUCAUGGGAACCUGUGUGCCCCUGGGUGGAUCCUCAGCUAGUAAGGUGUGUGGACUCCCAGCCGGGCCCCACUGGCCUCCCAACCCGGGCCAGGCCACCUCUCCUCUCUGCCUCAGUUUCCUCAUCAGGAGACUGACUCCCCCAGAGCAGCUCCGGGGGCUCAUCCUAUGGACUCCAUGAGCUGGAAUCCAGUGUGGGAAGCGCCGUGCCGCGGGCACAGUAUGUUCUUCAGAAGCGCUGGUUCAAUUAGGAACACACGCAGGAAGGAGGCCAGAUCCGGAGGAGAGGCCCAGCCCUGCAGGAGGCCACAGCUCCGCUUAUUUCAUAGAUGAGGAAUCCGAGACACAGGGGCCUUGAGGUCCUGUCCUGGCUCCCAGCUGGUCAGCAGAGACAAGCCACCUUGGACCAGACCAUGCAGUGGAAGGGGCGGCCGGCAGUCCCCACCUCCCCAGCGCUCUUUCCUGGAAGCAGGAGGAGGGUAGGGACCCCAGCCAGCCCAGGACCACCGCUGCCUGCCCCACCCGCCCCCCUCGGGUGCCCAGCCUGACCACGUCGCCCCCACCCGCCUGGCUCUGGGGGGCCGCACACAGAGCCCACGCUCAGGCCCAGGGCCCUGCUCACUGCUCCACUCUCACUGGGCUCUCUGGGGCAGGCUUUUCAGCAGAGAGUAUUUCAAGCACACUGAGCAGUAAGCAGCCACAUUGUCCUGCAGAAUGUUCCCCACGGGGGGUCGUUCUCCAUCAGCCCAUCGUCAGGAGUCCUGGCCACGAGGGGCUGGCGCCUGAGGACCUGCCACGGUGGGACAGGGCCACCUACCGCACAGCACAUGGUCAGAGAGAGUGGCUGAGACUUGGCCAUCUCCACUUUUUCUAGGGUCCCGGACGUCCCUGGUUCUGGUGGAUGGAGAGGAUGAAGGCUGGCAGGAAGCCAGCUGGUGACAGGUGUGUGCAGGGCUGGGCUGUGGCUCAGGGUAGGGCACUCGCCCACCUUGCCCAUGGCUGGUUCCAACCCAGCACCAAAGAAAAAGGAAAGGCACCCAGGGAGGGGGCUGGGGCUUCUGCACACCCAGGGCACGUUGACCAGGAGCCCAGGGGCCGGGCCAUCCGGAGGGGACCCUGAAGGGCAGUGGGGAUGCAAACUGCUGGCAGACCAGCAGGCGCCCCUGCCAGGACCCUCCCACUGGACGCCAGGCUCACUGCUCAUGGCAUGGCAGUCAGAAUGACAGUCAGAAUGACAUCUGUCAGAAUGACAGCCCCGAAGAUGUCCUCAUUCCCAGAGCCAGUGGAUAAGUCCCCUGGGAAGCAGAGGGGACUCGGCAGAUGUGACCUUGGGGCCAAGGGACCCCAAGGGGGAUGGCCUGUGCCUUAGUCUUUGUGUGUGCUGUGUUACCUGCCAUAACCUGGGUGAUUUAUAAGCAACAGGAAUCUAUUUCUCACAUUCUGGGAGCUGGGAGUCCACCGUCAAGGGGCCAGCAGGUCCAGCCCAGCGAGGGCUGCCGCUAUUCCCAGGUGGUGCUGGUUGCUCAGUCUUAUGGAGGCUGCACCCUUACAUGGCAGAAGAGGUGCAGGCACAACAGGACGGACCCCCCUUGAGCCCUGGUCCCUCCUAAGAGCUGGUCCUCCUAAGGACCCCUCUUGAGACGAGGGCCUUGGGGGCUAGGUGCCCACACAGGAACUCUGGAGGCAGCCAGCCCUCGACCACAGCAGCACUUACAACAGGAAGGCAGGACGGCCAGUCAGAUCAGACGUGAGGCAGGGCAGAGCCCAGAGGGGACAGGUCCUGCUGGAGGAGAGCCGGUGCCUCUAGAGGCAGAAAUACGGACAGCCCGAGCCCCGAGCCAGCAGCCAAAACGCAGCCCGGCCGCUGCCCUCGACAGCCCAGGGAGACAUCUGACUUCCAACCCACGACGACGACAGAUGCAUGUCACGCAAGCCACACUCGUGCAUGGGGUUGAGGGGACGGCACUGGUCUGCACGCCUUCCCCUGGCUUCCCUCAAUGACUUCCAUGCUCUUACAUCACGAUGGUGUCGGCAAAGGGUCCCCCACACGGGGGUUGCUCUGUGUACCAUUAUCUACCUGCUUCACUGCUGUGCGAAUCUCUGCCACGUGGACACCCCUAGGGCUCUUGGUCCCUGUGGCUGCCCCGUGGGCCCCUGGUCGGGCCUCUGAGCUGAGCCAGGGGUCUCAUUCUCCAUGAGCAAGGGUCCUCUGCACUCGAAGCCCCCGGUUGGCUCCCACAGUCCUGACAAGACCAAGGGACACGGGGACUCCCAAAACCCACUCCCCUGGACACUGCUCAGGCCCUUCAAGGAACCUUCAGGUUUCCUUGAGGCCCUGCCUGGCUGAAAUGAGAGGGAAGCGGCUCUCUGCACCCCACGGCCCUAUGAAGACCUGCGGCCGCCUGCCCUGGAAGCCGAGCUCGUCACACCUGUGCCCUGGGGUGGAUACGGCGCAGCCAGCAUGGUUUGAACCACUGUCCUCAGUAUCUGAAUUCUUCCCCAAUUCCAAGGCAGAGGAAGGGCUGCAGUAUCCUCCUGUGAUGGCUGCGUCCACCCCCCUGCCUCAGGGAGCAGACCUGGGACUGGCCACAGUGAUGUGGCCACCAAUGUCACAGCAGCUGCUCUGGGCCUUCCCGCAUGUGUGGGACGUAAAGCCAACACUCCCUCCACAGGCACCAUCUACUUGGUCACCAAGGGGAGCCACUAAUGACGUCCCCACUUCACAGGUGGGGACCCCAAGCUUGCACCCCAGGGGGAGGACAGUGCCUGGGGGCCAUCGUCCCAGGUCCCAAGUCCUGCAGAGCUUCAGGCUCCACCUGGAGGGGCCUCCUUGAGAGGGUGUCCUUCCUCAGACGCAGGGCCAGCCCCACGCGACCCCCAGGGAGGGAACCAGGGAUCGCCCUCACCCUCUCCCGCCACCCACUUGAAGUGGGAGGACAGGGACUGCAGCGUGGCCUACACAGGAGCCGACACAGAGGUGGACAGCAGAGCCGUGAGGCCGAGGAGAGGGGAGGGCAGCAGGAGUACUGGCAGACAGCGCCGCGCAGGCCCUGGGCAGAGCAGGUGGCCCCUCAAAAAGCCAAGCACAGCAUUACCACGUGACCAGCACGUCCACUCCCAGGUGCAGGCUAUAGCUUGGACCUUGGGUGUCCCCACAGGGCUGUGUGGAAGACCUGGCUGCCAGCCUGAGGCACGACCAGAGACAUCAUUCCACAGUCGGGGCUCUGCCGUGCUCCGCACCCUCUGGGCUCUCGGGUCGAACCACAGCAGUUCUGAAUUUGGGAGGAGGGUCUUAGGACGGUGGAGCCCACCGAUCUGCUGGCUGCGAGAGCGAGCGCUCGGGAGUGUGUGCUGCCGUCUUCCCCUGGGCCAGCGCUUGAGGAUGGGGAAGCGAGAGCCCCCCUCGCCCCUUCCCUGGCCACCUCUGUCUCCUCUGUCUGCCAGAGCGUUUCCUCGGUCCCUGUGUGUGGCUCUAACCGUGUCCUCUGCCACAGUCCUCGGUCAUCUCCUGCCCCUCUGACCGGCUGCCGUCUCCUCCUCCACCGGCGGCUUUGGUGAAGGUGCGUGAGGAUACUCCAGCUUGGCUCUUGUGGGUGGGGCGUUUCCCUACCCGCCAGUCUUAACUGGAACAUACUGGCCCGGAACGGAGGUGGACGCUCCCUCUAGGGGACUUGGAAGACGGCUCUCCUGGGUUGGGCUUUGUGCUGCCGUGGGGGAGUUUGUGAUUAGCGCGGCUGCUCCUGAGGAAGGACCCUCCUGCCCUCCUUGCUGAUGGGGCUUUCUCUCUGUGUUUAGCAGACACUUACUCUCAGUGUCCAAGCGUGCCUUCUCCACAUUACAUGGAGGCCCUGACAGGCCCUGCCUCUGGCCAUGCAGGUCUCCACCAGUGUGGGGAAGCCGUGGCCUCUCUCUGCUGCCCUCUUGCACCCCCAGUGCCCACUCCCCGGGACACAGAGCAGACCUCGGGGCCAACGGCAUGUGGCAAGAGCAACAGUGAGUGGCUUCCAAGCCUGGGCCAGAAAGUCAUCGCAGCGUCCCCUCGCUCCUGUGUGCCUCUCUUUCUGGGACACGGCCACCGUGACAUUAGCUCACGGUGACAUGAGCACCCCCAACAGCCCCUCAGAGAGGCCAGUUCAGAGGGAGUGCAGACCAGCACAGGCAGCCCACUCUUCCUGCCAGGGUUGGACCUGCAGCCUCGGAGCCUGCGCCCUGCCAGGGAGGGGCUCUGGUCCCCAGCACAGGAGUGACCAGCAGUGGCAGCUGCCCUGAGCCGUUCACAUGGGGGCCACGCACCGUGCAGCUCUGGGUGCCCCCUGCACCCUCUCUGUGCCUUCUGCCCGGUCCUCCCCGCUGCCUCCUGCAGGAUCAUUCAGCUCCACCUGCCACGCACCCCCACCCUGGGGUCCAGUCUGCUGUAACCCAUCCAAUGAGUUUGUAACUGAAUGUCAUAUUUUCAUUUCUAGAACAUCUAAUUUGGUUAUUUCUUCCAAAAUUUAGCUCAAGGUUUUGGAUAUUUCCUCAUAUUUGAUUUAUUUUGUUUAUUUGAGCAUAUUUAUGGUGCUUGUGGUGUCUGAUCUCUCCAAUACCUUCAGUCCUAAGUGUCGAGCGCUCUGCCGUUUGUUCUCGGCUUACUCUGGCCUGGAGGGUUUGUCUCCAUGUAUGGUCUACGAUUUGGGGUUGAGAGUUUAUUUUGGGUCUUCCUCAGGGGACCGUGAGGGGCCAGCACCUAGUGACCUAUCUGUACCGUCAACACUCCUGAACACCCUUGACAUCACUCCCAGGCUAGGGGCUUUCAGACGAUGUGGGUGGUGUAAUCCGAACCCCAAACCCUGUGAGGGAACAUCUGUGGUUCUAGAUCCUGGGGCAGAGUGAAGGCAGGUGAGUUCAAGUGACGGAGUGGACAUCAGUACCCUGCCAGCUCCGAGAGGUAGCCCUUCUAUGCUGCGAAAGCCACCAAGGAAGCCGCACCACGGGAGAGGGUCACCGCAGGCACCGUGGAGAGGGUCACCACACGCAAACAGGGAGGGCCAUCACAGAGUAGAUUCCUGACGAGGGGCGUGUGUUCAGACACAGAGAGAACGCUUGAACCACUACAAGAAGAACACAGGUGUCACAAUUUGAAAAUGGAGAAAGGAUCUGAAAGACAUUUCUCCGGAGGAGAUUUGCCAUCAGCCAGGAGCACAAAAAUCCGCCUCGCCGUCAGCCACAGGAGAAGCAGGUGCCAGCUGCAAUGAGGCUGGAGCACCCAGCGGCCACCAGCAGGGUCUUCCGAAAGGACCAUGCCCAGUGUGAGGGCACCAAGCCUUGCUCACAGCCGCAGGGGACGUGAAGCAAGCUACCCCGAGGACAGCUGCAGCCUCCCUCGCUCCAGGAAUCCACCCCGCACACAGAAACCUACCUGCACACAAAACCUUGUACAAGCAUGCACAUCGGCGCUCCCUGUGAGAGCCAAAAAGGGAUCCAGAAGUCCACCAGCUGGCCACAGAGAAGCACUGGUCAGCCACAAAGUGGAGCACUAGUGCUCGCUGCAAGGACAAGCCUGGGAAAUUUUUGCAAGGAGGAAGUCGGACACAUGGCCUCCCACCCCCGCCUGGCUCCACCUGUAUGAGGUGCCCAAGAGCCACGCCCCGGGCAGGUUGCUUAGGGCAGGGGGCAGGCAGGGGAGGGGGAGUGGGGUCUCCCUGGGUGUUCUAAAGUGAACACAGAGUCCCACCUACAGCCUGCAGGAAACAGGUGGCCCCUCCCCAGAGGGCACACUCCUCCUCCCAAGACACCUCAGACAGCGCCCACUGGCCAACCCCGGCCUCUGGGUCCAGGUAGCUGGCAGAGUUUUGCAAUGGAGCCUUUUCACAGAAGGGUUGAGGAUGAGGCUUGGCAGCAGACAGAGGUGGCUACACACCCCCACUCUGCCACUUGGCAGCCGUGAGGCUUCAGGUUGAGUUAUCUGACCUCUCCAUCCGUAGCUUCUUAUCUGCAAAAGAGGGAAGCUUCCUCCCAGGGCAGCCCAGGGGAGCCCAUCCCCCAGGACAGCCCAGGUGAGCCCGCCAGCACCUGUGGGCCCUCCUGGGCCAUCCAAGGCCUCCCUCCUCUGGGCCUCACCUUGGUGCAAGCGGUGUAGUCCCAGGCCCAAGGCAGACAUUCCACCUGCGUCUCCGUCCCAUCACCUGACUGUCCACUCUCUUUCCUGUCCUCUUUGCAGUGGCCAGGUCCAGGCCCUGCAGGGCCCAGUGGCUUCCUAUUCCCUUUGGGAGGCUUUGGAAAGUUCUUGGAGCUUCACUGCCUGAAAACAGAUCCCCCUGAGGAACUCGAGCCUUCCCAGCCGAGGGCCCUGAGGGUGGGGACCGUCCAGACUGGUCCUUGUCAGUGUGGUGCGUCCAGAGUGGGGCUAGCAAGCCCCAGGGCUCAGGUCUGCUUCCCUUUGGCUGCUUGAUGAGCAAA
rnacentral:lncRNA from 1 species